GUGACUGGGCUGCGCGCGCCGCGGAGGCGGUGGGAAAGGCACGCGGCUCGUCCGGCGUCUCCUGGGGGCUUUGCCUGCGGGCGGGCAGGGAGGAAGACAGCUGGGGCCGUUUGCUCUACUACCUGCCCUGGCAUUAAGGGAACAAAGUGACCAAACCCAGUGCCAGCGUUUACUAAGCACCUACUACGUGCAAGGCACUGGGCAAUCCGAGAGGAAGAGGCCUCAGUCUCCAGGAAGGGUGGACCUUAAGAUGGAUUGGCUGGAAGGCGACAGCCCGAGCACAAGACAGACGCGUUAGAGGCCAAUACUAAGGUCAUUCAUUCUGCCAGAGUAUGGAGGAAGGCUUUCAGGAGUGGUCGCCAAGGUGGCCUUUCAGCUGGAUCCCGGAGGAGCGGAUAUAACCAGGAGGUGGGGAGGGUGUUUCUGUGAGCAAAGACUGGGAGGCCAGAGUACCUGGCUUGUUGCAGGAACUGGGAUAGGACAAUUUGAAUUUGGGAAGGGAUGCACUAUGAAACGUAGAAAGGUGGAUGGGUGCCUUCUUGGGCCCACUUGGCUAAAAGCAAACUUACAUUACUUAUCAUGGCUUAUUGAGUCCAAGGAGCCUUUUCAGUGUUUAUGUGAAAUUUAAGUAUUUAUGAAAUUAGAGACGCAGGUCAGCAUAUUUUUUCAAUGACUUCAUCACCAUCUUGCUGAGAACCAGACAUAGAAUAGCCCUUCUAGUCAUUAUUAUGGGCAUCUUCAAGAAAGAGGCAAAGACCACUUCAAAAAGAUCACAAAGGGCCAGGCGUGGUGGUUCACGCCUGUAAUCCUAGCACUUUGGGAGGCCGAGACGGGCAGAUCACCUGAGGCCAGGAGUUCGAGACCAGCAUGGCCAACAUGGUGAAAGCCCCGUCUCCACUAAAAAUACAAAAAGUAGCCGGGUGUGGUGGCUCACACCUGUAAUCCCAGCUACUCGGGAGGCUGAGGCAGGAGAAUAGCUUGAACCCCGCGGGGGGUUGCAGUGAGCCGAGAUCGCGCCAGGACACUCCAGCCUGGGCGAAAGGGCGAAACUCUGUCUCAAAAAAAAAAAUCACAGAGUAAUGAAGUUAAGUGGUUGGGGUGAGCUUGAAUGCUUUAUAUUUUUUAAUAUUUAAAACAACGUCAGCUGAGUACCAGGUGUGAAGAAGAGGUAAUGAGUGAAAAAAACCAAGAGAAAGGGGAGACUUGUUCCAACCGCAGAAUUUCCAGCUUCUGCAACGAGAGCUCGUACCUUCAGCCCCACUGCCUCUGCUCUAGGCUCUCCUCUGAUCCUCAGGACAUUUUUCCUCUCACUCUUUGAGAACUCGUUUACCUUCCUUUUCCAUCAAUGUCUGAUCACCCAGAGAAGGUGGGAGAAUAAAUACCAAGCACUGUGCCUUCCCUCAAGGAGCAUUUAAUCCAGUGUCACUGCUGACUUCCUGUGGAUAAUGCAAAGUUGGCUUACAAUAGUAAGGGAGACCACUAAAUUGACAGAAUCUUUGUAGCAUUUCAAAAGGGUGUCAGGCCUCUGAGCCCAAGCUAAGCCAUCGUAUCCCCAGUGACCUGCACAUAUACAUCCAGAUGACCUGAAGCAACUGAAGAUCCACAAAAAAAAUGAAAAUAGCCUUAACUGAUGACAUUCCAUCAUUGUGAUUUAUUUCUGCCCCAACCUAACUGAUCAGUGUACUUUGUAAUCUCCCCCACCCUUAAGAAGGUUCUUUAUAAUCUCCCCCAUCCUUAAGAAGAUUCCUUGUAACUCUCCCCACCCUUGAGAAUGUACUUUGUGAGAUCCACCCCCUGCCCCCAAACCAUUGCUCUUAACUCCACUGCCUAUCCCAAAACCUGUAAGAACUAAUGAUAAUCCACCACCCUUUGCUGACUCCUUUUUCAGACUCAGCCCGCCUGCACCCAGGUGAAAUAAACAGCCUUGUUUUUCACACAAAGCCUGUUUGGUGGUCUCUUCACACGGAC
rnacentral:lncRNA from 1 species